UGGGGAAUUUUGGACAAUGGGCGAAAGCCUGAUCCAGCCAUGCCGCGUGAGUGAAGAAGGCCUUCGGGUUGUAAAGCUCUUUUAGUCGGAAAGAAAAGAUCAUAAUGAACAAUUAUGAUUCAUGACGGUACCGACAGAAAAAGCACCGGCUAACUACGUGCCAGCAGCCGCGGUAAUACGUAGGGUGCGAGCGUUAAUCGGAAUUACUGGGCGUAAAGGGUGCGCAGGCGGUUUUGUAAGUCAGAUGUGAAAUCCCCGGGCUUAACCUGGGAAUUGCGUUUGAAACUACAAGGCUAGAGUGCAGCAGAGGGGAGUGGAAUUCCAUGUGUAGCAGUGAAAUGCGUAGAGAUGUGGAAGAACACCGAUGGCGAAGGCAGCUCCCUGGGUUGACACUGACGCUCAUGCACGAAAGCGUGGGGAGCAAACA
rnacentral:rRNA from 1 species